rnacentral:rRNA from 1 species
AGUGAACGCUGGCGGUAGGCCUAACACAUGCAAGUCGAACGGCAGCACAGAGGAGCUUGCUCCUUGGGUGGCGAGUGGCGGACGGGUGAGGAAUACAUCGGAAUCUACUCUGUCGUGGGGGAUAACGUAGGGAAACUUACGCUAAUACCGCAUACGACCUACGGGUGAAAGCAGGGGAUCUUCGGACCUUGCGCGAUUGAAUGAGCCGAUGUCGGAUUAGCUAGUUGGCUGGGUAAAGGCCCACCAAGGCGACGAUCCGUAGCUGGUCUGAGAGGAUGAACAGCCACACUGGAACUGAGACACGGUCCAGACUCCUACGGGAGGCAGCAGUGGGGAAUAUUGGACAAUGGGCGCAAGCCUGAUCCAGCCAUACCGCGUGGGUGAAGAAGGCCUUCGGGUUGUAAAGCCCUUUUGUUGGGAAAGAAAUCCAUCUGGUUAAUACCCGGGUGGGAUGACGGUACCCAAAGAAUAAGCACCGGCUAACUUCGUGCCAGCAGCCGCAGUAA